AUGCAUGUUCAUCUUUUGGCCGAAUAUUGAAGAGAAAAAGAACCAUUUGGAAGCUUUAAAGAUUCGGCACUUUGAAGCUCAAAUUGAGAUCAAGAAACGAAGAAAACGAAUUUGGAUCGGGGAAAAACGAAAGUAAUCGAAUAGUCGAUCGUGUCUGCUGAUAUCCGAGAUUUUGGAGACGCGUUACGAGCUCGGGGAUCAUCAGCAUAGUCCAUCACACUAUCGACUUCUUUUGGUAUUUUGUUAAAUAUUUGAACUUAAUAUUAUGGCAUGUAUAGGUUUGAGUACGAUGUUAAUUACAUUUUGAUUGUAAA